GUUGCUCCUCCCCUGGCAGCCGUGCGGGGGGUUAGAUCUCAGCCGGAGCGGGAGCUGGGCCUAGCUGUCCCCACGGGCCACCACUACCUCCUUUGGUUCGGGAGAAAGCUACGACUGAGUACUCCCAGCCGUCCCCGCUCGGGCCUUGGAACUUCUGAACGGGCAGUGCGGGUAGACCCUGCUUAGCCCUUCCCAGAGGACACCUGACCAAAAGAGGAAGAUAGUCUUGGGACCCCUGCAUGGUGUUUCAAAGGGUGGUGAAGAACUAAGAUAUCUUCUUGAAGCCCUGCAUCCUCCCAUUCUAAUUUGAACUGUUAGCUUCCCAUCACUGUCGUCUCGGGUAGAAGAAUACAUGUUCACUUCCAGUGAACAAGAGCAUGUUCCCGAACUCAAUUUUGGGUCGCCCACCCUUCACUCCAAAUCAUCAACAACAUAAUAACUUCUUUACCCUGUCACCUACUGUUUAUUCACACCAGCAGCUUAUAGAUGCACA
rnacentral:sRNA from 1 species